AUGGGGAGGUGGAGAUGGGAAGAUGGCGUUGGAGGAGGAAAACGAGAUCCAGGCAGUGGAAAGAUGGCGUUGGAGGAGGGAGCACGGGUGGGCGCCGCAGCUGAAGCACGGGUGGCCUGGUUGUGGCGGAGCAUGGCGGGAUUCCGGGCGGCGUCGUGGUCGUGGUCAAGAGCAGAAGCACGGGUGGCCGCCGUAGCUGAGCUUCUAUGUAACAUAGUUCCGAUGAAUCCUCUGCCGCAUCUGGCCUCUGCAGAUUCGUUUUUGUAUCUACCUAUAAGGCGUUCGAUGAAAAUCCAAGCUGCUGCAGUGGCAGAUUACGCCGUCCUCUUGCAUGCUGAGCCAUGUUGGGCUCUCCUGUUCUUUUUUGUUGGCUUGACGUACGCACUGGCAACCUCUUAUGUGAGGGAUUCAGCAUGCCUCUAUUUGAGAGAAAAGAUAUGGAGAAGCGGAUUUUCAGGUACACGUCGUCCAUCGUGGCCCAUCGUGGGUGUUGGCAGGCGACCGGAGGCGGCUACAGCAGGCCAGUGUCCGUGA
rnacentral:rRNA from 1 species